AUUGAGCGCUGGCGGCAUGCCUAACACAUGCAAGUCGAACGGAGGUAGGGGCAACUCUACUUCAGUGGCGGACGGGUGAGGAAUGCGUCGGAAUCUACCCUAUGGUGGGGGAUAACACAGGGAAACUUGUGCUAAUACCGCAUAAUGUCGAGAGACCAAAGCAGGGGACCGCAAGGCCUUGCGCGAUAGGAUGAGCCGACGCCCGAUUAGCUAGUUGGUAGGGUAAAGGCCUACCAAGGCGACGAUCGGUAGCUGGUCUGAGAGGAUGAUCAGCCACACUGGGACUGAGACACGGCCCAGACUCCUACGGGAGGCAGCAGUGGGGAAUAUUGGACAAUGGGCGCAAGCCUGAUCCAGCAAUGCCGCGUGUGUGAAGAAGGCCUGCGGGUUGUAAAAGCACUUUUGUUCGGGUAAGGAAAUCAUGCUGGUUAAUACCUGGUAUGGAUGACGGUACCGAAAGAAU
rnacentral:rRNA from 1 species